rnacentral:rRNA from 1 species
GCAAGUCCGGGGUAACAGGGGAAAAGCUUGCUUUUUUGCUGACGACCGGCGAACGGGUGCGUAACGCGUAUAGGAAUCUGCCUUGUACAGGAGGAUAGCCUUUAGAAAUGAAGAUUAAUACUCCAUAAUGUUGAGAGAUGGCAUCAUCUUUUAAUCAAAGAUUUAUCGGUACAAGAUGACUAUGCGUCCUAUUAGCUAGAUGGUAAGGUAACGGCUUACCAUGGCAACGAUAGGUAGGGGGUCUGAGAGGAUUAUCCCCCACACUGGUACUGAGACACGGACCAGACUCCUACGGGAGGCAGCAGUGAGGAAUAUUGGUCAAUGGAGGCAACUCUGAACCAGCCAUGCCGCGUGCAGGAAGACUGCCCUAUGGGUUGUAAACUGCUUUUAUACAGGAAGAAACUUAGUUACGUG